UAUGGAGGAUGCGAGCGUUAUCCGGAUUUAUUGGGUUUAAAGGGUGCGUAGGCGGAUCGUUAAGUCAGUGGUCAAAUUGAGGGGCUCAACCCCUUCCCGCCAUUGAAACUGGCGCUCUUGAGUGGAAGAGAAGUAUGCGGAAUGCGUGGUGUAGCGGUGAAAUGCAUAGAUAUCACGCAGAACCCCGAUUGCGAAGGCAGCAUGCCGGCUUCCGACUGACGCUGAAGCACGAAAGCUUGGGGAUCGAACAGG
rnacentral:rRNA from 1 species